GGGAUAGAAUUCCAGGAGUAGCGGUGAAAUGCGUAGAUAUCUGGAGGAAUACCAAAGGCGAAGGCAGUCCCCUGGUCCGAUACUGACACUGAGGUACGAAAGCGUGGGGAGCAAACAGGAUUAGAUACCCUGGUAGUCCACGCCCUAAACGAUGUCGAUUAGCCAUUGGAAGGACCCCUUUUCCUUUCAGUGACGUAGCUAACGCGUUAAAUCGACCGCCUGGGAAGUACGACCGCAAGGUUAAAACUCAAAGGAAUCGACGGGGACCUGAACAAGCGGUGAAUGAUGUGGAUUAAUUCGAUGCUACGCGAAGAACCUUACCUACCUUUGACAUGGCCAAAGUUCUACCGAGAGGCGGAAGUACUCGUAAGAGGAUUGGCGCACAGGUGCUGCAUGGUUGUCGUCAGUUCGUGUCGUGAGAUGUUGGGUUCAGUCCCGCAACGAACGCAACCCUUAUCUUUAAUUGCUCCUAUUUUAACAGGCACUUUAAAGAAACUGCCAAUGAUAAGUUGGAGGAAGGUGGGGAUCACGUCAAGUCCGCAUGGCCUUUAUAGGUAGGGCUUCACACGUCAUACAAUGGUUAGAACAAAGAGCUGCAAAUUCGUAAGAAGGAGCCAAUCUCACAAACCUAACCUCAGUUCGAAUUGCGGUCUGCAACUCGAGCGCAUGAAGCCGGAAUCGCUAGUAAUCGUGGAUCAGAAUGCCACGGUGAAUACGUUCUUAGGUCUU
rnacentral:rRNA from 1 species